UGUGUAGGUGGCGCCGUAAGUGGGGUGUGAAAUUUCGAGGCUUAACCUCGAAACUGCAUUCCAUACUGCGGUGCUUGAGGACUGGAGAGGAGACUGGAAUUUACGGUGUAGCAGUGAAAUGCGUAGAUAUCGUAAGGAAGACCAGUGGCGAAGGCGGGUCUCUGGACAGUUCCUGACACUGAGACACGAAGGCCAGGGAGCAAAC
rnacentral:rRNA from 1 species